UAAACUCAUGUCAGGCACAGAACAGAAGCAGCAUCCAUGGAGAGCGGCGCGUGGCCCCACGCGCUUGUGAAGAUGUCUCCCCUACACCUUCGCCGCCGUCAGAAUUUCCGUCUCCAUUGUCGUAUCUGUCCUCGGCGCCGCCUUGGGCAUUUGUAUAACCGGAAGCAGUUUGAUCGGUGCUGCAAUCAAAGCUCCCCAUAUUCCUUCCAAGUACCAAGAAUUUAGUUAGUGUUAUCUUUUGUGAAGCUGUUGCAAUUUAUGGCUUUAUUGUGGCAAUUAUUCUACAAACAAAGUUAGAGAGUGUUCCAAAAUCACAGAUUUAUGCACCUGAGUCUCUUAGAGCAGGAUAUGCGAUCUUUGCCUCUGGGAUUAUCGUGGGCUUUUUAAACCUUGUCUGCGGGUUCAAAUCUCUUUUCUUUUACUCUUAGAUCCUCCAAUGGAGUUCUCCUAACUAACACUCAAAUUUUUUUCCCUUGCUCUUACAAUUGUGCAGAUUCUUCUUUUGACAACAGGCCAUGUGUGAGAAUCAUUGGAAGCAGUCGUGCUUUGUCUGAUGCUCAAAACUCCUCUCUUUUUGUAAAGAUUCUUGUUAUCAAAAUCUUUGGUAGUGCACUUGGGUUGUUUGGAGUGAUUGUGGGAAUUAUUAUGUCAGCUCAAGCCACAUGGCCUGCAAAAAAAGUGUAAUUUUCUACUCUAAAUGGAACAUUAGGAAUUGGUUAUGAAACAGUAUCAUAAAUAUGCUCUGUAUUCUUUCAUCUGUUAUUAAUAGGCAUGUUAAUAGUUUGUGCGGAGAUAGUUUGUAUUCAAUCUAAACAAUGUGUAUCAUUGUGUUGU